AUGUCUGGUCGUACAAAGAAGCAGGAGGCGAUGGGUUUCUUCAAACCCUAAAAUCCUUAAUUAAACUCUCAAAUUGGAGGUGCAAAUAUGGUCCAAAACGAAAAUCGAGCAUAGAUUACUGAUCCCCAUUGCAAGGGGGUUGUAAGUUUGACUCUUGACAAGCUAGAUGGAGGCUUGGAAUGAAGCGGGUCAAACGGAGCAAGUACGAAAAGGAAAGCGUAAUUUGGAUGCGAGUCUUAGGUACUCAAGGAUUAUGGGUGACGAUCAAGCAACUUUUGAAUGACCGAACACAUACUCUUGAAGCUUCCGCAUAAAUCAAGUCGGUUUAAACAAUGUUUAUGAUGUAAACUGUUUGCUAAACAACUUUUGAAAUGUUUAAACGACGUACUCAAUUAUGUUAUGUUGUAUUAUUUUAAAAUUGUAACGUUUAAACAAACCCGUAUUUUUACAAAGUAUAU
rnacentral:lncRNA from 1 species